CAAGUCGAACGGCAGCACGGACUUCGGUCUGGUGGCGAGUGGCGAACGGGUGAGUAACAUAUCGGAACGUAUCCAAUAAUGGGGGAUAACUAAUCGAAAGGUUGGCUAAUACCGCAUACGCCCUACGGGGGAAAGCUAGGGACCUUCGGGCCUGGCGUUAAUGGAGCGGCCGAUAUCUGAUUAGCUAGUUGGUGGGGUAAAGGCCCACCAAGGCGACGAUCAGUAGCUGGUCUGAGAGGACGACCAGCCACACUGGAACUGAGACACGGUCCAGACUCCUACGGGAGGCAGCAGUGGGGAAUUUUGGACAAUGGGCGCAAGCCUGAUCCAGCCAUUCCGCGUGAGUGAAGAAGGCCUUCGGGUUGUAAAGCUCUUUCGCAAGGGAAGAAAACUUAGUCUCUAACAUAGACUGAGGUUGACGGUACCUUGAUAAGAAGCACCGGCUAACUACGUGCCAGCAGCCGCGGUAAUACGUAGGGUGCGAGCGUUAAUCGGAAUUACUGGGCGUAAAGCGUGCGCAGGCGGUUUUGUAAGUCAGAUGUGAAAUCCCCGAGCUCAACUUGGGAACUGCGUUUGAAACUACAAGACUAGAAUAUGUCAGAGGGGGGUAGAAUUCCACGUGUAGCAGUGAAAUGCGUAGAGAUGUGGAGGAAUACCAAUGGCGAAGGCAGCCCCCUGGGAUAAUAUUGACGCUCAUGCACGAAAGCGUGGGGAGCAAACAGGAUUAGAUACCCUGGUAGUCCACGCCCUAAACGAUGUCUACUAGUUGUUGGUGGAGUAAAAUCCAUGAGUAACGCAGCUAACGCGUGAAGUAGACCGCCUGGGGAGUACGGUCGCAAGAUUAAAACUCAAAUGAAUUGACGG
rnacentral:rRNA from 1 species